AGAACCAGUGCCCGCGUCUGAGGCUGGAUCCUACGGCUGGCAUGAGGAACUGCACUGUGCCGGGGUGAAGACAGGUACUGCUGUUAAAUUACACACUUCAAUGGCUGCUAAACCAGUACAAUUCCAACUCGUGAGAAGUCAGAAUCCAAAGCAAGUAAUUUGCCAGAGUGGCUGAUCCAGGGACCGACUGUGUGGUUUCUCUUAUUUGGGAAAAGCAGGACUGAUGCAGACGCUCACCUGUACAGGUUCUCAACCCUCCCCUUCAAUAUCGUACCUAAGGCCACCCCUUCCAUAGACAGCAGCCGUGUUCUUUG